GGGUCAAAUAAUGACACGAAAGUGUGUUAACUUUUAAGAGUAUAUAUGUGGCCCAAUUUAUUAACAGCAGGGGUAUAUUUGCGGAGGGUAAAAUUGGCCCAUUUUCGAUAGUUCAGGGGCAAUUUUGACCCUUUGCCGUUUAAGUUAUGCCCCAGUAGAAUUAAGUUUAAGUUUGCAGCCAUGGCAUGUGUUAGGUUUCUCUUUGCAUGUCUGUAGAACAGCAAAAUCUGAGCCCUAGUUUGGAGUUUUCAUCAAAUUUUAGGUCAAAGUUGAGGUCUCUAACACUGCUUUGAGAAAAUCCGACCUGUAUCUUGGCGGGGCGACAUGGUAAGGCAUCCAUCUGCAAAUCGGUGUUUGCAGUCAUGGCCUCUGUCGCUUUCUCUUUGCAUGUUUGUAGAACAGCAAAAUAUGAGCUCUUAAAGUUUUAGCUCAAAAAAAUGAGGCAAUCGGAGAAAAAUUGGGAUUUUUUUAGGGUGGUUGACCAUCUCCGGUAUGCCAGUGACUUUAUCUUAGCUCUAAUCAACAGCCCUUUUAGCAUAUGCUUCUGUCUCUCUAUCUGUGACUGCUUUGAUGCUGCGUUUUCAGGCAAAGCAGCAGCAAAAGCAUAGAAAAAUGGAGGUUCUUCCCAGGAUGAAGAAUGGAAAAGGGUCAAAUAUACCCCUCUACUAUGAAGAAUGAGGCCAACUGAGAGAAAAAGGGAAUUAUUGGAGGGUGGUUGGCCCUUCUGAUUGGCGUAUGAUUUCCCCAUAAAUAAAAUUAACAACCCGCUUCAGAAGUACUAUUGCUGUUCUCUUGUUUUCCCUGAGCUUAGCAAACAUACUCUGAUCUUAUCUUAUGUUUGUUAAAAAAUGCUCGAAAUUGUUGUCCAAACGCCUACUUAUGGGAAAGUUUCCAUCUUUCAAACGAAGCUGUAAUGAUAAUGCUUAUCGCAGAACCCUCACCAUAGUUUAGCCCAGAAAGUAAGAAUGAGACUUCAGAGACAGAUGGGAUUUUCUGUAAAGGGUCGUUGCCCCCUCUCUGCCAUGUCCAUAAUUUCUUCUCCAUUCAUAACAAACCAACAGCCCUUUGAGAAACAGCAAAAUAUCAGCAAAUUGAAAAAAAGAGACUAUUUAUGCGUUUGGCCAUCGAUUCCAAAUAUUUAGCUGAUUUUCGCAAAUAUCCACUUUUUAAAGAGUUCGGAACCUAAAUGACCUGAAAAAAUGGGCUGUGAUGAUGAAUUUGCUUCUUUCUGGGCUAAUACUCUACUUUAGUCACUGCGUUUGAGAAGUUCCGACCCGUAUCUUGGCGGGGCGACCUGGUACGGCAUCCAUUUGCAAACUGGCUUCUGCAGCCAUGGCGAUGUCGAUUUCUCUUUGCAUGUUUGUAGAACAGCAAUAUCUGAGCCCUAAAAGUUGAAAGACCCAAUUUUUAGCUCAAAGUUGAGGUAAUUGGAGGAAAAAAGAGGAUCCUUUGAGAUGUGUUUUUUUUUUUUUUUUUGUCUGUGUGUGAUAUAUAUAUAUAUAUAUAUGAAUGUGUUGUAUGCCCCUGUAAAAUACAAGGUAGAAAUGACACAACAAAGUAGCUUCUUUUCUAAGAGCUUGUUUGGAUUGGCUUUAUUUUAGGUGCUUUAAAGCCAAAAUAGCUUUUAAGCACUUGAAGAGUUCUGAACCUAAAUGAGGUGCUUUAUUGAUGUUGAUUGAUCUGAAAAAAUGGGAUCUGAUGAUGAUUUGCUUCUUUCGUGGCUUAUCUAGAGCCUGUUUGGAUUGACUUAUAAGUUGCUUAUAAGCUGUUUUCAGCUUUUUUGAGCGUUUGACUGGCCAGCUUAAAGUUAUUUUGUGCUUAAAAUAAGCUAAAAAAUAAUUGGGUCCGUUUGACUUAGCUUAUCUAAAGCAGCUUAUAAGCUGAAAACAGCUUAUAAGCUGCUUAAAAUAAGCCCAUCCAAACAGGCUCCUACUUUAAUGCAUUGAGGAAAUCUGACCCGUAUCUUGGCGGGGUGAGCCGGUAAGGCAUCUGUUUGCAAACCGGUGUCUUGCAGCCAUGGCGUGUGUCGGUUUCUCUUUGCAUGUUCAUAUACAGCUCAAAGUUGAGGUAAUCGGAGAAAAGAGAGGAUUUUUUAGGGUGGUGGACCAUUUCCGGUAUGCCUAUGAUUUCGUUUUUGCUCUAAUCAACAGCUCUUUUAGCUCAAAAAUGAAAAAUAGGAAUAUAUAUGCACAUCCUUUUUCUGCUUCUGCAUACUACUACUACAGCUGACUUUCGCAAAUAGUCACUUUUAUGUCCCUGUAAAUUACAAGGUGGAAAUGGCACAAUAAGGUAGCUGUUUUUUUAAGAGUUCUGAACCUAGUGUUUCAUUGAUGUUGAUUGAUCUGAAAAAUGGGCUGUGAUGGUGAUUUGCUUUUUUCUGGGCUAUAAUCUACUGCACUGCUUGAAGAAAUUGCACGAAUUAUCCUUCAUAUGGCUGUUGUUUAAUUUUUGCCCAAAAUUUUGCACGAUUUGCCCUUCAAAUCGGCUGGUCUUUAACACUGCUUUGAGAAAAUCCGACCCGUAUCUUGGCGGGGCGACCUGGUAUGGCAUCCAUGUGCAAUCCUGUGUCUUGCAGCCAUGGCGAUGUCGAUUUCUCUUUGCAUGUUCAUAUACGGUAAAAUCUGAGCCCUAAAAAGUUUACUGGAAGUUUGGAACACCCUAUUGGAUUCUUCAGUUUCAAUUUUUAGCUCAAAGUUGAGGUAAUCCGAGAAAAACGAGGGUUUUUCAGGGUUGUUGACAAUCUCCGGUAUGCUUUUGAUUUCGUUUUUGCUCUAAUCAACAGCUCUUUUAGCUCAAAAAUGAUAAAGGGACUAUAUAUGCUCUUCCUUUUUCUGCUUCUGCAUACUAUUACAGCUGAGUUUCGCAAAUAGUCACUUUUAUGUCCCUCUAAAUACAAAAUGACACAACAAGAUAGCUGCUUUUCUGAGAGUUUGUUUAGAUUGGCUUAUUUUAGGUGCUUUUAUACCAAAAUAGCUUUAAGCACUCUUAAGAUUUCUGAACCUAAAUGAGGGGCUUUAUUGAUCUGAAAAAAUGGGGUGUGAUGAUGAUUUGCUUCUUUCUUGGCUUAAUCUACUUUAAUGCGUUGAGGAAAUCUGACCCGUAUCUUGGCAGGGCGACCCGGUAAGGCAUCCAUUUUCAAACCGGUGUCUUGCAGCCAUGGCGUGUGUUGAUUUCUCUUUGCAUGUAAGUAGUAACAGAAAAAUCUGAGCCCUAAUGUAGUCUAGUUGUGGUUCUUCUUUUGCCCCACUUUUAGGAUUUUUCGUCCAUAUUUUUGGAUCAUUGUAUAAAGUUAAUAACUGGGUUUUUGUGGAAACUAAGGUUCUUCUGCAUUUGUACGUUUUUGUUUGUUGAUUUUAGCUUAUGGGUUUGAUAAAAAUGGUAACUUUAUUAGUCUAGCUAUGGAUUGCCCACUCUUAGAGAUUUCUCUUCCAUUUUUUGGAUCAUUCAUCAAAGCUAAGAACUGGGUUUUUGUGGAAACAAAAAAUUGCAUUUAUUUGUGGAUUUUAGUUUCUGGGUUUGAAAAAAAGGGGAACUUAAUGUAAUCGCUUUGUCUUCGCAUGUUUGUAGAACGGCAAAAUCUGAGCCAGAAGAAAGCUGCUUUUUUAAGAGUUCUGAACCUAAGUGUUUUAUUGAUGUUGAUUGAUCUGAAAAAUGGGCUGUGAUGAUGAUUUACUUCUUUCUGGGCUAUAAUCUACUGCACUGCUUGAAGAAAUAGCUCAAAUUGCCCUUCAAAUGGCUGGUCUUUAAUUUUGCCCCUCAAAUGAGCUUGUCUUUAACGUUUCUUUGAGAAAACCUGACCCAUAUCUUGGCGGGGCGACCUGGUUAGGCAUCAAUUUGCAAUCCGGUGUCUGCAGCCAUGGCCAUGUCGCUUUCUCUUUGCAAUGUUCAUAUAUGUACAAAAUCUGAGCCCUAAAAGUUUUACUAUAACAACUAAUUGGGUUCUUUAGUUUUUGUUGAAAACCCAUUUUUUCUGAUGCAGGCUCCAUCAAUUUUUUGCUCAAAGUUGAGGUAAUCGGAGGAAAAAAGGAUUUUUCUUGGUGGUUGACCAUCUCCGGUAUGGCUAUAUUUUUUUUUGGCUCUAAUCAACAGCCCUUUGGCGCAAAAAUGAAGAAGAGACUAUAUAUAUGCUUCUUCAUUUUUCUGCUUCUGCAUACUACUACAGCUGAUUUUAGCAAAUAUCCACUUUUAUGUCCCUCUAAAUACAAAAUGACACAACAAAGUAGCUGCUUUUCUAAGAGUUCGUUCGGAUUGGCUUAUUUUUGGUGCUUUUAUGCCAAAAUAGCUUUAAGCACUCUUUUAAGUGUUCUGAACCUAAGGUGUUUUAUUGAUGUUGAUUGAUCUGAAAAAAUGGGAUGUGAUGAUGAUUUGCUUCUUUCUUGGCUUAAUCUACUUUCAUGCGUUGAGGAAAUCCAACCCGUAUCUUGGCGGGGCGGCCCGGUUUGGCAUCCAUUUGCAAACCGGUGUCUUGCAGCCAUGGCGAGUGUCGCUUUCUCUUUGCAUGUUCAUAUACAGCUCAAAGUUAAGGUAAUCGGAGAAAAAAGAGGAUUUUUCAGGGUGGUUGACCAUCUCCUGUAAGUCUAUGAUUUCUUUUUUUGCUCUAAUCAACAGCCCUUUUAGCUCAAAAAUGAAAAAGGGACUAUAUAUGCUCUUCCUAUUUUCUGCUUCUGCAUACUAUUGCAGUUGAUUUUCGCAAAUAGUCAUUUUAUGUCUCUGUAAAUACAAGGUAGAAAUUUCUCUUUGCAUGUUUGUAGAACAGCAAAAUCUGAAGUAUAAGGUAGCUGUUUUUUUAAGAGUUCUGAACCUAAGUGUUUUGUGUUUUAUUGAUGUUGAUUGAUCUGAAAAAUGAGCUGUGAUGAUGAUUUGCUUUUUUUCUGGGCUAUAAUCUACUGCACUGCUUGAAGAAAUUGUACCAAUUGUCCUUCAAAUGGCUGGUCUUUAAUUUUUGCUGAAAGUUUGCCCAGAUUGCCCUUCAAAUGCACUAGUCUUUAAUUUUUGGCCUUCAAAUUGGCUGGUCUUCAACACUGCUUUGAGAAAAUCCGACCGGGGCGACCCGGUAUGACAUCAAUGUGCAUUCCGGUGUGUUGCAGCCACGGGGAUGUCGAUUUCUCUUUGCAUGUUCAUAUACAGCAAAAUCCAAAAAAUGAGGCAAUCGAAGAAAAAAAGGGAUUUUUUUGGGGUGGUUGACCAUCUUCAUUAUGCCAGUGACUUUAUCUUAGCUCUAAUCAACAGCCCUUUUAGCAUAUGCUUCUGUCUCUCUAUCUGUGACUGCUUUGAUGCUGCAUGGUUGCGUUUUCAGGUGAAGCAGCAGCAAAAGCAUAGAAAAAUGGAGGUUCUGCCCAGUAUGAAGAACGGAAAAGGGCCAAAUAUACCCCUCUACUAUGAAGAAUGAGGCCAACAGAGAGAAAAAGGGAAUUCAUGGAGGGUGGUUGCCCCCUCUGAUUGGCCUAUUAAUUCCCCAUAAACAAAUUAACAACCCUCUUCAGAAGUACUAGUACUAUUUUCUUGUUUUCCCUGAGCUUAGCAAACAUACUCUGAUCUAUCUUAUGUUAGUUACAAAUUGCUCGAAAUUGUUUUCCAAACACCUACUUACGGGAAAGAUUCCAUCUUUCAAAAGAGGCUGUGAUGAUAAUGCUUAUGGCAGAACCCUCACCAUAGUUUAGCCCAGAAAGGAAGAAUGAGACAUCAGAGAGAGAUGGUAUUUUCUGUAAGGGGCGGUUGCCCCCUCUCUGCUAUGUCCAUGAUUUCUUCUCCAUUCAUGAAAAACCAACAGCCCUUUUGGAAGAAAAAAAGAACAAGAUCAUUGAUUUUCGUGUGUGUGUGUAUCUAUAUAUAUAUAUGCUUCUUCCAAUUUCUGCUUCUGCUUCUACUGCUGCAGCUGAUUUCCGCAAAUAGUCACUUUUAUGUCCCUAUAAUAUACAAGGUAGAAAUGACACAAGGUAGCCGCUUUUAAUGAGUCAUUUACAAGAAUGUUGAUUGAUCUGAAAAAAUGGGCUGUGAUGAUGAUUUGCUUCUUUCUGGGCUAUAAUCUACUUCACUGCUUUUAGAGAAUCCGACCUGUAUCUUGGCGGGGCGACCCGUUACCGCAUCCAUUUCCAAGCUGGUAUCUUGCAGCCAUGGCGUGUGUCUCUUUCUCUUUGCUUGUUUGUAGAACAGCAAAAUCUGAGCCCUAAAGUGUACGGCAACCAUUUGAUGGUCGUUCUCGGGAACUGAGAUGUUCUUCAGUUUUUCUUGAACACCCAUUAUCGGAUGCAAUUCUCCAUUUACCCCGUAUACAAGCCAUAUACCAGAAGAAGAGAACCUACAUCAAAAUAUGGUUCUCAAGAAAAGAGGUCCAAUCCUCUAUACGUCUGAUAUGGACUCUUUGGCAUUUGUAAAUGGACCAUUUCAUUGGCUUGGUUUGUCAGUGAAUGAUUUUGUGGUUUCAUUUAGUAUUUCAAAUGAGUUGUACGGAGAGAUACAGUUGCCAAAGGGAUUGUGAUUGAUUUUAAACGCGGCGUGCAUCAAAAGUGGCAUUUUAGUAUUGGGAGGAAUGCUUUGUGGUUAUUCUACUUAUACUCAUCAGGGAAGGAUACUUUUAAGUUAUGGGUAAUGAAAGACUAUGGUGUCAAGAAAUCUUCAAAUAAUCUGUUCAAUAUACAAGUUACCGAUCUUUAUUCAGCCAUACUGAUAUAUAGAUUUCCAGAUGGUCAAGUGCUACUCUGCUGCGUACUUUUGGAACAUUUUGGUUCUGUAUUAAGGCAUCCAAAGUAUCUUUUGAAUUAUGGCCUCAAUGUGUACCAUUCAGAACGAAUUCGUUUAUACAGAAAGCUUGAUCUCUCCAUAAUUGCUUACUUGAAAUUGGCUAAAUAUAUAUAGAAGGUUUAGCAAAAUCCUAGCAGUUAAGCCCAGAAAGGAAGAAUGAGACGUCGGAGAGGUGGGAUUUUCUGUAAAGGGUGGUUGCCCCUCUCUGCUGUGUCCAUGAUUUCUCCAUUCGUGAAUCCAACAACCCUUUGAGAAAAGAAAAACAAGAAAAGAAUAAUGAUAAACGAUCUCAACAACACCCCUUGAGUAUUUACCUCUGUAAGUAAGGGGCUAUGCUCUUCCUUUCUCUGCUUCUGCUGCUACCACUGCUAGCUAUGAUAAGUAGCAGCCCUGGUGUCAUUUCUACAUUGAUCUUCACAGAUCACCUGAAAAUGGGCUGUGAUGAUGAUUGCUUCUUUCUGGGCCAUCUAGUUUACUGCUUUGAGAAAAUCUGACCCGUAUCUUGGCGGGGCAAACCUGGUAUGGCAUUUUCUGCAAACCGGUGUCUACAGCCAGGGCGCGUCACUUUCUCUUUGCAUGAUCAUAUACAGCAAAAUCUGAGCCCUAAAGGAGUCUUUUGCACAACAAUGAGAAUUUGCCCUGAAGGAAGAAUGAGGCCAACAGAGAGAAGGGAUUUCUUGGAGGGUGGUUGAUCUCUCUGGUUGGCCUAUGAUUUCUCCAUUAAAAAAUUACUUUUUCCUUCACUAAUGUACCCUGAGCAAAAGAACUUGGGAAUUGAGCAUUGUGCUUUAUAUAUUAGUGUCUUAGCAGAACCCUCACCAUGGUUCAGUCCAGAAAUGAAGAAUGAGAGACAUCAGAGAGAAAAUGGGAUUUCUGUAAAGGGUGGUUGCCCUCUCUCUGCUAUAUGUCCAUGAUUUCUUUCUCCAUUCAUUAAAAUAAACCAACAGCCCUUUGAGAAAAAAGAAAAAGAAACCAUAUAUGCGUUUGGCCAUAGAUUCCAAGUAUUUUUUGCUUCUGCUACUACUACAGCUGAUUUUCGCAAAUAUCCACUUUUUUAAGGAAUUUUUUGCAUGGAUUCCAAAGAAUUGAGGGACAAAAAUUAAAGACCACCCCGAAAUAGGGGCAGUUGUGUGAAUGACCCAUUUUUAAGAGUUCGGAACCUAAGUGACGUGAAAAAAUAGGAUGUGAUGAUGAGUUUGCUUCUUUCUGCGCUAAAAUAAUCUACUUGCCUCACUGCGUUGAGAAGAUCCUACCCGUCUCUUGGCAGGGCCACCCAGUAUGGCAUCCAUUUGCAAACCGGCGUCUUGCAGCCAUGGCGAGUGUUGGUUUCUCUUUGCAUGUAAGUAGAACAGCAAAAUCUGAGCCCUAACAGUUUAUUGGAACAUCCAAUUGGCUUCUUUAGUUUCAAUUUUUAGCUCAAAAUUGAGGUAAUCAGAGAAAAAAGAGGAUUUUCCAGGGUGGUUGGCCAUCUCUGGUAUGCCUAUGAUUUCUUUUUUGCUCUAAUCAACAGCCCUUUUACCAGAUUUGAGGUGUUUUUGUGUGUGUGUGUGUGUAUGUGUUGUAUAUGUGUGUGUGUGUGUGUGUGUGUGUUGUAUGUUACCUGAAAAUGGGAGGAGAUUAUGAUUUGCUUCUAUCUGGGCUAAUCUACUUCACUGUGUUGAGGAAAUCCGACCCGUAUCUUGGCAGGGCGACCUGGUACGGCAUCCAUCUGCAAAUCAGUGUCUGCAGCGAUUGCGUGUGUCGAUUUCUCUUUGCAUGUUUGUAGAACAGCAAAAUCUGAGCCCUAAAAGUUUUACUAUAACACCUAGUUGGGUUCUUAAGUUUUUGUUGAACACCCUAUUUUUUCUACCUCCCAAGGUGGGCGUAAGGUCUGCGUACACACUACCCUGCCCCAUUUGUGGGAUUACACUGGAUUUUUUGUUGUUAUUGUUGUUGUAGUUCUCCAUCAAAUUUUAGCUCAAAGUUGAGGUAGUUGGAGAAAAAAAAAGGAUUUUUCAGGGUGGUUGAGCGUCUCCGGUAUGCUUAUGAUUUCUUUUUUGCUGUAAUCAAUGACCCUUUAGCUCAAAAAUGAAAAAUAGACCAUAUUUAUGCUUAAUUUUUCUGCUGCUGCAUAUUAAUACAGCUGAUUUUCGCAAAUAGUCACUUUUAUGUCCCUGUAAAAUACAAGGUAGAAAUGACACAAUAAGUUGUAUUGAUGUUGAUUGAUCUGAAAAAUGGGCUGUGAUGAUGAUUUGCUUUUUUCUGGGCUAUAAUCUACUGCACUGGGUAUGUUGAAUCUACUGCACUGCUUGAAGAAAUUGCACGAAUUGUCUUUCAAAUGGCUGCUCUUUAAUUUUUGCCCUUCAAAUGGCCUGGUCUUUAACACUGCUUUGAGAAAAUCUGACCCAUAUCUUGGCGGGGUGACCCGCUUCUUUUGGUAUACGGCUUGUAUACGAGGUUUCCCCAAUUGUUAAUAAUUAUUUACCUUAUCCCAAAAAAAAUAAAAAAUACAGUAAGAUACAAUACAAUAUAGUAUGAUACAUUAUGGAACAAUAGUUAACAACCAUCCAAACAGAGUGUUUAGUGUUUUAUUGAUGUUGAUUGAUCUGAAAAAUGGGCUGUGAUGAUGAUUUGCUUUUGUCUGGGCUAUAAUCUACUGCACUGCUUGAAGAAACUGCACGAAUUGUCCUUCAAAUGGCUCGUCUUUAACACUGCUUUGAGAAAAUCCACCCCGUAUCUUGGCGGGACGACCCGGUAUUGCAUUCAUUUGCAAACCGGUGUCUGCAGCCAUGGUGUGUAUUGCUUUUCUCUUUGCAUGUUCAUAUGCAGCAAAAUCUGAGCCCUAACAGUUUUAGCUCAAAA